rnacentral:rRNA from 1 species
UACACUCCUGCGGGAGGCAGCAGUGGGGAAUUUUGGACAAUGGGCGAAAGCCUGAUCAAGCAAUGCCGCGUGAGUGAAGAAGGCCUUCGGGUUGUAAAGCUCUUUUGUCAGGGAAGAAACGGUGAAAGCUAAUAUCUUUUGCUAAUGACGGUACCUGAAGAAUAAGCACCGGCUACCUACGUGCCAGAAGCCCCGGUAAUACGUAGGGUGCAAGCGUUAAUCGGAAUUACUGGGCGUAAAGCGUGCGCAGGCGGUUUUGUAAGUCUGAUGUGAAAUCCCCGGGCUCAACCUGGGAAUUGCAUUGGAGACUGCAAGGCUAGAAUCUGGCAGAGGGGGGUAGAAUUCCACGUGUAGCAGUGAAAUGCGUAGAUAUGUGGAGGAACACCGAUGGCGAAGGCAGCCCCCUGGGUCAAGAUUGACGCUCAUGCACGAAAGCGUGGGGAGCAAACAGGAUUAGAUACCCGUGUAGUCCCA